UUAUAUAAGCAACCAUACCUAACAAUUAAAAAAAUAAUUCUCUCAGACAUAACAAAUAUCUAACCAUUAAAAAAUUGAUUUUCUCACACAGGACAGCUUCAACACGAGGGAAAAUAAAACUGUCAAGGGAAGAACAGGGAACAUAUAUACUUGUUGAACAACCACAAUAAAUCCCAAAAAUCAUAAAAUUUGAAAAAAAAAAAAGAAAAGUGAUUUAAAUCCAGAUUCAAGCAAAAAAGUAAAGGGAAAAAAAGGGGAAAACCAAACGCAGUCAAGAAGAAGGCAAAUGCACCAUGACAGAGACGAGACCAUGACCGGAGACGCGACAUGCGACCGUGGCUGGAGACGCGAGAUACGACCAUGGCCGAAGACAAGACCAUGGCUGGAGACGCGACCAUGUCCUUCAUUGUUGACGCUAGUGAAGGUGACGCGAGAUGCUACCAUGGCCAGAGGUGGUGACGCGAAGUGAAGGUGAGGCCAGGCGAAGGUGUUGCGAUGGUAGCCAGAGGUGUUGACGCCAACAAAGGUCACGUGAGACGAAUAGCCAUGGAGGAGAGGAAGAAGAUAGAUAGGACGAGAGGGGGAAGCUUCUGGAGGUGGUGAAGAGAGAAAAAAAGUUGUCGAGAAAAGAAGAAAGGACGUAGGUAGAUUUUUAGGUAAUGAGGUGAGACGAUCUAGAUUGUCCAUCUUAUUAAUGAGGAUGAAUCCGAACCGUUGAACAACUUAGGUAAUUAAUGAGGCAGCAUUUUGACCGUUGAUGGAAAUGUUACCGUUGCUAUGUACCGUUGAUCUAAAAAUAAUACGUUGAAUGUGCAUAAAUGAACGUGCUAUGGAAAUGUUUUCACUGUGCUACACUAUUCACUAUAAAUUUAUGCAUGGUACAACAUAUUUUGCACAAUUCUUGUACCACUAAUUUUUUUGUUGUUGUUGCUAUCAAGUGUCAAUUUUUUUUUGUUCUUUCUGAAAUGGAUCUCAAUCAGUAUAAUUAUCAAUGUUACUAUAGUUAUUUGCAAAACCAAUCACUCUCUACUAGUGAAAAUUCUCAAAAUCCACCGCAAUAUGUUAUGUAUCGACCACCCCAUAGCAGUGAAAAUUUUCAAAAUCCACCGCAAUAUGUUAUGUGUCCACCACAACCUCCUACUAGUGAAAAUUCUCAAAAUCCACCACAGUAUAUUAUGUAUCCACCACCCCCACACAUGUGGUAUAUGCAUCCUUCAUCCAAUGUAGAGCCACCUACCAAUGGUAGUUCUCAAAAUCCACAAAUUUAUAGUCAACCAUCAACUCCCACCAACUCAAACACGUGUUAUAGGCCAUCUUUAUCCAAUAUUGUGCUCCCUAGCAAUGAAAUUGAAUCACCCAUCGGCGUAGAUGGUAUUCAACUAGACGAAGGAGAUGAAAAUUCAAGUGGAAAAAAAGUCGUACCGCAUUCUCGGUCACAAAAGAUGUGAUUCUCGUCCGAUCAUGGCUGAAUGCAUCAAAGGACUCAAUUAUAGGAGUCGACCAAACAUCAAAGCAAUAUUGGGCAAGGAUAAAAAAAUGCGUACAACAAUGACGAUGUGCAUCAAAGCGGACAAUUUUGUGAAAGAAGCUGGACUCAAUUAAAAUCUCAGUGGAGCAGGAUCCAUCCUCCAGUUCAAAAGUUUAAUGGGUGCUACAAACAAGCAAAUAAAAAUAGGAGAAGUGGAAGUUCAGAGAAGGAUGUUUUGGUUGAUGCUCAUAUGAUUUACUCACAAGAUACAGGUAAAAAAUUUGAGGUUGAGCAUGCAUGGUUGUUGUUGAAAGAUCAACCAAAAUUUGAUGCAGAAUUUAUGUCAAAGUGUUAAAAAAGAACAAAGGUUUUUGCUUCUGAAAAUUACUCGUCGUCUUCUAACCGAGAGACACCCAUUGAAGUCGAAGAUUAUGAUACGCCAUCGCCAAUGUCUCACCCAAUUGGACAAAAACCAGCAAAAAGGAAAAGCAAAGGAAAAGAAUUUCCUAACACUCUCGAUUUAUCUAGCAUAGAAAGUGUAAUGAAGGAUAAAAAUAUGAACACAUCAAAACUUAUUCAAUUAAAGGAGGCACAGGAAAAGCGUAUGCAAGAAUAGGAACGACGUAUGGAGUAUGAAAUCCUCAUGAAGGAUACAUCCAACAUGUCCGAACAACAACGCAAAGACCACAAAAAGUAUUGUGACCAUAUUAGGAAAAAAACUAGGAUAUUAAAUUUUUAGUUCUUAUGCUAAUGUUGUGUUUGAUAUUUAAUUUUAGCAGUGUAGGUAUUUGUUGUGUCUUAAAUUUAGAAUUUUAUGUUGUAAAACUAGCCAUUGAAAAAACUAGUCGUUGAAAAACUAGCCGUUGAAAACUAGUCAUUAUUAAUGAAGCUAUAUAAAUGUCCAAUGUUUCAUUAUUUUGACAUAUUCUCAUACAAUAUUUCUCUCUUAUUUCAAACACUUUGGUUACCAUAUAAUGGAUCCAACCAUCGAUUUAGAUGAAGUUUUAGAUCAAAUGAUAGAUGAGGAAUUGGAAGACAACACCGAUGAAGAAAUCAUUAGGUUGAUACUUGAGAGCCAACAACAACUACAUAGCAACACCACUAGGUGUAGCCAAAGAAGAAGAGUGGUACAUCGUAAUCAUUAAGAAGGUCAUCAUUGAUUGUUCAAUGACUAUUUUUUAGAAAAUCCUGUGUACACAGAGAUUCAAUUCCAAAGAAGGUUUCGUAUGUGAAGGCAUGUGUUUCUUCGAAUUGUAAACGCACUCAACAAGCAUGAUGAAUACUUUCAAAUGAGGGUCGAUGCACUACGUCAAAAAGGCUUAUCUCCAUUGCAGAAGUGCACAGCUGUUAUUCGUAUAUUGUCUUAUGGAUCACCUGGUGACAUUGUGGAUGAAUACAUUCGAAUUGGUGAAACAACUACAGUGGAAUGCUUGGAGUGAUUUGUAUUAGGCAUCUAUACCAUAUUUGGGAAUGAAUACUUGAGGAGACCAAAUAAUGAAGACACUGAACGCCUACUACAAAUGGGAGUGGCACGCAGAUUUCCAGGUAUGUUAGGUUCCAUUGAUUGUAUGCACUGGGAAUGGAAAAAUUGUCCAGUUUCUUAAAAAGGUCAAUUUUGUUGAGGUGAUCAUCGCAACCCAACAAUCAUUCUUGAAGCCGUGGCAUCACAAGAUUUAUGGAUUUGGCAUGCAUUUUUUGGAACCGCCGGUUCAAAUAAUCACAUUACUGUGUUAAAUGGAUCUAAUGUGUUUGAUGAAGUUUUGUCAGGACGUGCGCCCGCAAUGCAAUUCAUAGUGAAUAGAACCCAAUAUAAUAUGGGAUACUAUUUAGCAUAUGACAUUUAUGCAGACUUUGCCACGUUUGUGAAGACCAUCUCAAUGCCACAAGGAGAAAAACGAAAAUUAUUUGCAGAACGACAUGAAUCGGCAAAAAAGGAUGUAAAAUGAGUGUUUGGAGUGCUCCAAUCUCGAUUCGCAAUUAUACGUGGUCUGGCACGUUUUUGGGAUGCUGGUAAAAUGAAGAAUAUCAUAUAUGCAUGCAUCAUAUUGCAUAACAUGAUUGUUGAGGACGAACGUGACACAUAUCAGAAUAAUAUUGAUUAUGAUAGUGUAGGUAAUAGCACUUCAACAUUUGAAGUAUCUUUAGGUGCUCACCCUAGUAUCAGAUCAACAUACCUCCAAAGGAGAGCACAACUUCAUGACAAACAAAAACACCGCCAACUUCAAGCAGAUUUAGUUGAGCAUAUUUGGGAAUGUUUCGGAAAUGAAAAUAACAAUUAAUUUAAUGUAAUAUUUUUUGUUUUUCAUCAUUAUGUUUUUUAUUUCAAUGUCAUUGUAUUUAAAUAUCUAUUAUUAUGUAAAAAUGUAUUUUUUAUUGUUACACAUUUCCUUUGAAUGUUAUGCAAUUUUUUUAUUUUUAAUUUAUAUUUAAUAUUUUCUUCAUUUAUUCAUAUUUAUUAUUUGUAUACAUAAAAACUGAAAAAUGAAUUAAUUAUUUUAUUGGAAUAAUAAUUAAAUUAUAAUAAAAUAAUUUAAAUGUUUGAAUUUCUUGCGGUUUCUUACGGUUUCUUGCAUUGGAGUAAAAUUCUAUUGAGUUUCUUAUGAGUGACAUGGCACUGCGGGGACCACAAAAAAUGCUGCGAAGACCACAAAAAGAUGAUUAAGAAACCCAUAUAAGAAACUUGGGUUGGAGAUACUCUUAGUAGUGUUUAAAAGUUUUGAUAGAUAGGGUAGGAGGCACCCUACCCAAAUCCACUUCUUUUGUGGGAGAUAAUGAGAUUAUUUUUAGGGAAACUAUCAUUUGGUCUCCAAAAUUGUAAUCUCUGAAAGUAUGAAAAUAUUAUUUGGGUUCCCAAAAAUAUAAUUAUUUAUCAUUUUAAUUCAAUAAUUAAAAGAUUUUUUUUUCUAGAAGUUAAUGUUUGUGUUUAUAUAACAUGUUAUUUAUUUAUGUGUGGUAGUUGGUGGUGCACACUACACACCAGAAUCUAACGGCAUGUAGAUAUUGUCAAUUGAUGAUAUAUAUGUGAUAGUUGAUGGUAUACACAUGAUAAGUCAGUCACGAGUCAUAAUAAUUAUCUCCUAUCAAAUAUAUGUAUAUUAUCAACUCUCUCAUAUCUAUGGAAUUGUCAUAUAUUAUCUACUUAUUCAUCAUCUUUGGAAUUUUAGGGGAUCUUAUAAAAUAUCAAUAACAACCAAGAACACAUUACGUUAGAUUAUCAAGAAAUUUUUUAGGAAUAUUUGGAUUCAUAAUGGUUGAUCAAACAAAUACAGCGGAAUCUAAAUCUGUAGGUGAUUUUCUGAUCUAUGCGCUCUUCUUAGGAUCUAUUGGAAUAUUGUGAAGACAACAGAUAAUCGGCUAAUAGCGUAACCGGUGACUUUAUGAUUUUUCUUCAACUGGAACCUCUUUAUUCCUCAAUAGGACCUUAGUAACUCUUUAGAUGGAAAGAAGAGAAACUAUGCGUGUGGCGACUUGGUAUAUUGGGGACCAUAACCUUCUUAUAGUGUGUUAACUUAAUAAGGCUCUCAUUAUCUCCUAAUGGACCAACAAUGACAUCUGUUCAUUUAAGUUCAUAUCAUCUAAUUUAGUUGUCUAACGGAUUCAUUUAAUUUAAUUACAUAAAAUUAAACUAAUGAUAAAUAAUUAAUAUAAUUGUCUUAUAAUAUUAAUCCAUGUUAAUUAUUAGAAUAGAAAAUUCAAACAUCAUCAACUAUCAUGUAGACAUAUAAUACUAGUGUGUAACAUAAACACAAAUGUUUAAAUGAUAUUUUGAUACUUUUAGGAACUAGGGACCUAAGUGUCAAGCAAAUUAGAUCGGAGAACAAAUGACACUUUAGCUAAUUUUAUUUUUUUUCCAGCUAUUAGUAUUUUGAUAACUUGUGAAGCAUUGAUAUAUUGUAGAAAUGGAUUUGGCAGCAGUCAUAUUCAUGCAUUCACGUGAUUAUCAAAUCGAAAUCAUUGAAGGAAGGAUACACAUCUCACAUGUUAAAAUAAAUCUGAGUAUUUGAAUUUUCAUAUAACAGUUAACUGACUACAUAAAAACAUAAAAUAAUUGAAAAAUACUCCUGAAUUGUACAACAAAUUGUUACACGAAAUCACACAAAUAAGACAAUGGGUUAUUCAACUUUCACUCCAAUCAAAUAAUUAUUAGUUACUUAACUGGUGAAACCAUUAAUUCUUAUUUUUGUGUCAAUUUUUCUUUGUAACAAAUAGCCUCAUUGAAAUUAUGACUGCAAUAAAUCUGGACCCAUUCUCAUAAUACUAACUAAUGGCAUUCAUAUGAGAAAAGCAGUGAAGUAAAAUCAUACCAAGUUCUCACUCAAUUGUGAAAAAUGAAUCUUUCUUGGGGUAAAACUCUGAUCAAUCUUUGGUCUUUGUGCUAUUGACAACUUUAACUGCAAGAAUUUUCGUUUACAGCAGGUGAGAGCCUAAGAGCAUACAGGGCCAAGCAAAUAAGACAAAAUGAAAAUUGCACUAUAGUGUAUUAAACUAUUAGUAUUGAAAUACCACACCAUACUUGCUUUUCUUUUUCUGAUUUUGGUAGUGGCACCAUACUUGUUUUUAAGUGCUUAUUUAAUUAUUAUGUGUCCAUUUGUUUUGGCAGAGAAAUCAAUAUUAUGUGUUCAAUUCAAACUUGGGAGAAUCAACCCUACGUUAGAUACCCUGCAGAACUACAUGGUGGAGAGAGAAAGGGCACCCCUGGACUUAGACAAGGGCCAUUUCUUUUCCCUCCCUUUCAAAGGGUAUCCCUGGAGUUGAAGUUGAAGCAGACAUAGAGAAGAAAAGGGCCUUUACAUUUUUGUAUUUUCAGCCAGAAAUGGUAGAAAAAUAAGGUAACUUCAAUGGUUUCAGAACAGAAGUAUUAGUUAGCAUCACCAUCAUCAAAUAAGGUUGACUUAGUGAUGUGAGAGUCACACUUCUGAUUUCUAAGACUAACAUUUUCUUUGCUGUUUCCUUUUCCACAACAGUAGUAGCAUGGCCAAAACUGGAAGCUGAAACUCAUCUCCCAGCUUUCACAUUCAAGCACAUAGUUUUGAUGCCUCACAACUCAGACCACAUCAACCAGUACAGGUUAUACAAGUGCUAUUGCUGAAGUACAGCACACAGCUUCAGAUACUAAAAGCCAAGUGAUGUGUCUGUGCACCACAUGCAGAACUCUUGUGUCUUAGCCUUUUACUAUUGGAUUGCAUUUAUGUUUCCAGGACCAAGCAAAUGCUGUAGGGUCAUGGUCAGAGCCACACAGAUACAUUAUUCAGGUCUUCUGUUUCCUAGCAGCAAAUAAUAGUUUUUUUAAGACCCACCAAUGCCCCACAUAAACAAUAGAGGAGCCAUUGCUAAUUAUUAAGAAAGAAAUGCUGUAGAGUGUAGAGUAAUGUACUGUGUAUGUACAUCUAUAGUGAGAUCUAUCCUAAAGGCCACUACCACUGCACUUGUUAGCCAUCUCUGGGAAGAGUUCUUAUUCAUGGACAGUGAAAGAGCGGACAACAACCAAGGCACGAAUGCAACACACACUGCAAUCUCUAGUACACUUAAAAUUAAGAUUGCUAGCAGCAGCAAACAAGGUGAGGAGAGUUUAGACUGCUCAAACUUACCUUCACCAAACAUAAACAAUGCCAUAGAAUCAUCACCUUAUGGUUCUCCUCUUGUGUCCCCACCUUCAUCAGCCUUUGUUUCAGCAUUGCAGUCUCCAUAUAUAUCUCCAAGGGCCAUAAUCCCAGACCCCCCUAAUGGUUCUUCUCCUUUGGAAAACCAACCAUCGCUACCAAUUACUACAACAACAGCAACCACUUCCACCCCAGAAGAUGUGCCAAGCAGUUCCUACACUCCCCCUUCUGAUCAAUAUGAGUUCUCUGAUGACACUGCUGACACAAGGCUCAAAUAUGUGACAUGUUUUCCUGAAGCAGCUCCUGAACGCAUCUCAUUCUCAUUUCAAGUCCCUAGAAUUUCUUUUACAAAAGGUCCUGUCUCACCUGCUACCAAUGCUAAACUAAGAAGCUGUGAUGUUUACAUUGGAUUCCAUGGCCAGAACCCCAACUUGGUGCGCUUCUGCAAGUGGCUUAAAUCUGAGCUUGAGCUUCAGGGGAUUGAUUGCAUGCUUGCUGAUAGAGCAAAGUACUCAGACAGUCAGAGCCAUGAGAUUGCCGAUAGAGUCAUUUGCUCGGUGGCAUUUGGAGUGGUGGUUGUUACAAGUUCCAGCUUCCUCAACCAUUAUAGCACGGAGGAGGUGAGAUUCUUUGCUCAAAAAAAGAACUUGAUCCCUCUCUUGUUUGAUACUGGACCAUCUGAGAUUAUGUCUCUUCUUAACUGCAACUCUGUUGACAAAGAAUGUAAAGAGACAAUUGAUGGACUAAUGAAAUGCAAUGAGUUGAAUCUAGAGGCUACUGAUGGUAACUGGAGAAGCUGCAUAGUGAAAGCUGCUAGUAUCUUAAGAGCAAGACUUGGUAGGAAGAAUGCUGAGCAGAAGGAUAAUAUGCAAGGAUAUGAGAGUUUACCUUUUCCAAGGAACACAUACUUCGUAGGAAGAGAGAAGGAGAUUAUGGAGAUUGAAGGCCUUUUCUUCGGUCGAGGGAACUGCAUGGAACAAGUCCAAGAUCAUUGUAGGGCAUUCACCAAAGGAGAAGCUAGUGGAAGUGGACAAUCUGAAGGCCUUGCAGAUGAGGAAAGUGAACCAGUGAUAGGUAGGUGUGGAAGGUAUUUUAGUCUAGAGAUGGGGAGGAGCAAAGAGCCAACUUUAGGGGCUUGGGUUGAACCAACCAUAGGAAACAAUUCUGUGAAGAGGUUGAAGAAUAAGAAGUCAAAGAGUGGAAACUACAAGAGCUUGUGUAGCAGUGUGAUUUGCAUUAAUGGAGUUUCUGGGAUCGGGAAGUCUGAGCUGGCACUAGAAUUUUCUCAUAGAUAUCACCAGAGGUACAAAAUGGUCUUGUGGGUUGGUGGUGAAGCCAGGUAUCUUAGGCAGAACUUAUUGAACUUGUCUCUCAAUUUGGGAUUGGAUGUUGGUGCUGAUUCUGAGAUGGAAAGGGGUCAGAUUCGUAGCUUUGAGGAGCAAGAAUUUGAAGCAUUCAUGAGAGUCAAGAGGGAACUGUUUGGUGAGAUUCCUUACCUGCUGAUUAUUGAUAAUCUUGAGACAGAAGUGGAAUGGUGGGAAGGGAAGGAUCUAUAUGACUUGAUACCAAGAAACACAGCAGGGACACAUGUGAUUGUUACUACUAGGUUGUCCAAAGUAAUGAGCUAUGAUACUAUUCAGCUUCCACCUUUGCCAUUAUCUGAUGCAAUGAUUCUGAUGAUAGGCCGAAAAAGGAAAGAUUAUCCAGCAGAUGAGAUCGACAUCCUUGAAAAAUUCAAUGAAAAGCUUGGAAGGUCGAGCUUUGGUGUGUGGAUAAUUGGUUCAUUGUUGUCUGAACUUGCAAUAGGCCCUUCUUCUCUCUUCGAGGCCAUAAACCAGGAGCCACUCAAUGAAGAUUCAAACUCUUGCUAUACGAGCAUUGCAGAAGAGCAAUGGUGCAAGAGCAACCCUUUUCUCAUGAAGACCCUUCUCUUUUGUUUGGAGACUUUAGAGAAAACUAAAGCUAAAGGGAACCUCUUGGCCAUAAGAAUGCUGCUUGUGAGUGGCUGGUUUUCCCCUGCUCCCAUUUCAGACAGUUUAUUAGCCAAUGCAGCAAAGAGUAUCCCUAUGGUCGAAAACCGCCUUAAGAAGUGGACCAAAUCUCUGAGCCUAACACCUAGUUGUUUAUCAUUGCGGACGUGGAAAAAUGAAGAAGAUUCAGCAAUGCUUCUUGUGAAAAUGGGACUGGCUAGAAGGGCUAAUCAACAUGAUGGAUGCUGGCUUCAUUUCCAUCCCAUAACACAAGCAUUUGCCAAAAGAAAAGGUGGUUUGCAGUAUGCCAAGGCUGCAAUUCAAGGAGUGAGAAAAAUGGGCAGCCAAGUAAACUCAGAUCACUUAUGGGCCUCUGCUUUCCUUGUGUUCGGGUUCAAAUCUGAGCCCCCACUAGUGCAGCUGAAGGCAAUUGAUAUGGUUUUGUACAUCAAGAGAACAGCUCUCCCCCUAGCAAUUCAAGCCUUCACCACUUUCUCAAGAUGCAAUUCAUCCUUGGAGCUCUUAAGGGUGUGCACCAAUGCACUGGAGGAAGUUGAGAAGUCCUUUGUCUCUCAAAUCCAAGAUUGGUCCUCACAUAAUUCAAUUUGUUGGAAAAGGAGACUGCAAAGAGACCAAAAAGUGGAUGAAUAUGUAUGGCAGGAUGUCACCUUGUUGAAGGCAACACUGCUGGAGACAAGAGCAAAGUUGCUAGCAAGAGGGGGGCGUCUAGACAGUGCCAAGGAACUGUGCAGAACAUGCAUCAGUAUCAGAACUGUGAUGCUUGGCCAUAACCAUGCACAGACGUUGGCUGCUCAAGAGACAUUAGCAAGGUUGGUGAGAAUGAGGAGUAAGAUAUGAGUUUGUUCGUUUUGUGUCUUCUACUUUACUGUUAAACUUCAUACAAAACAACACCUGUAGUGAAAAGGUGUAUAAAUGUUACUAUGGCAAUAAGCAUCACUGUGUAUGAAUGUACUACUAGUGUUCCUUAUCUGCCUCCUCAACAAAAAAGCAUUACUGUGGCAAUAAUGUUGUUCUUGUUAGAGGCAUCUACUGUAAUGUUGGAGAAUAUGAUAGUGCCAAUGGAAAAUCUAGUAGUUACCUUAGUAUGUUGCUGCUCUUCGAUUGAAUUUGCAUUACUCUACUGCAAAUUAUCAAUCAAUAAAAAAUUCAUUAGUAGAAUUCAGCUGAGGUUUUCUACAAUAUCUACAUCACGUGGACAUAUCUACAACGGUUGAUGAAUUUAAAUGAACACCCUGAAGACAAGUGGUGAACAAAAUUGUGUUCAACUGGAUGCAAACCCACAUGCCGUGCAAGUAGAUAAAGAAAAUUGUUUUAGAUUUUAUUUAAUUAGAACUACAUGUUUCUUAUGUAUUGACUUUCAAAGUUAAGAACAAUCCAAUAAAUUACAUAAUUCUUAGCUUCUGAGAUUUUUUCCCCCUUAAAAAGAACAAGAUAUUAGAUUCAACAAAACUAGAAAUUUGAAGCAUCAAAUUGGUAAUUUGAAAAACAUUAACAAAGCGGAAGAAAAAACCAACUUGAUAAGACGACUUCUGAUGUGCGAAAGCUCAGUAGGUCCUGCACGAUGUGAAAGCUUUUUCAACCGUCAGGAUCCUAUUGUCACUCAUCGUAGUGUGUAGAC
rnacentral:lncRNA from 1 species